CCUACGGGAGGCAGCAGUGAGGAAUAUUGGUCAAUGGCCGGAAGGCUGAACCAGCCAAGCCGCGUGAAGGACGAAGGUGCCAAGCAUUGUAAACUUCUUUUGUCAAGGGACAAAAUCAGGCUCGAGAGCCUGACCGAGGGUACUUGAAGAAAAAGCAUCGGCUAACUCCGUGCCAGCAGCCGCGGUAAUACGGAGGAUGCGAGCGUUAUCCGGAUUGAUUGGGUUUAAAGGGUGCGUAGGCGGACUGUUAAGUCAGCGGUAAAAGCCCGGGGCUCAACCCCGGCGAGCCGUUGAAACUGGGUGUCUUGAGAUGUCGAGAGGUAUGCGGAAUGCGCAGUGUAGCGGUGAAAUGCUUAGAUAUUGCGCAGAACUCCGAUUGCGAAGGCAGCAUACCGGCGGCGAUCUGACGCUGAGGCACGAAAGCGUGGGUAUCGAACAGGAUUAGAUACCCUUGUAGUC
rnacentral:rRNA from 1 species